rnacentral:rRNA from 1 species
GACGAACGCUGGCGGCGUGCUUAACACAUGCAAGUCGAACGGAAAGGCCUGCUUUCCCUUGUGGAUUGCGGGUACUCGAGUGGUGAACGGGUGAGUAACACGUGAGUGAUCUGCCCCCAACUUGGGUAUAAGCCUGGGAAACUGGGUCUAAUUCCCGAUAGGACUGCAGGGUGGUGCCUGUGGUGGAAAACGAUUUUCUAGUGGUUGGGGAUGAGCUCGCGGCCUAUCAGCUUGUUGGUGGGGUAAUGGCCUACCAAGGCGGCGACGGGUAGCCGGCCUGAGAGGGUGGACGGCCACAUUGGGACUGAGAUACGGCCCAGACUCCUACGGGAGGCAGCAGUGGGGAAUAUUGCACAAUGGGCGGAAGCCUGAUGCAGCGACGCCGCGUGGGGGAUGACGGCCUUCGGGUUGUAAACUCCUUUCGACCGCGAGGAAGCCACCUGGUUGGAAGGGUGGUGACGGUAGUGGUAGAAGAAGCACCGGCUAACUACGUG